rnacentral:tRNA from 1 species
GGGCAGAUGGCGAAACUGGUAGACGCGCUGGACUUAGGAUCCAGUCCCGAAAAGGGGUCCGAGUUCGACUCUCGGUCUGCCCA